CGUAAUUAUCAGCUCAGCAUUUCUCUUUAUACUGAAUGGCUUUGACCACACAGGGACUAGUUGGAAAUCACGCGUAACUACUAACACCUGGGCUACUGUGUCAUGGUGAGUUGGGCAGGAAAAGAAGAUGCAGAGACACUAACCCCAAGAACGUAGUCACAGGUUGCCAAUCUGUCCUCAGUCUAGGGGAAAUAGAUGAUAUAACGGAACACCACACAAGUACAUCCUAGCUUUCGGUUUUAGACUUUUUUCUACAUCAGAACAUAAACACAGGUUAAACACAUGGGGCACCUGGGUGGCUCAGUCGGUUAAGCGUCUGACCUGUGAUUCCAGCUCAGGUCAUGGUCCCAGGGUUGUGGGAUUGAGCCCCGAGUCGUGCUCUGCACUGAGUGCGGAGCCUGCUUAAGGUUCUUUCUCUCUCCCCCUGUGCCCCUCCCCUGCUUGCACUCUCUGUCUCUCUUAAAAAAAAAAAAAAAGUCUUACCCUGCAUAGAACAUUGUGAUACAGUUUUUGAGUUGCAGUUGGAAAGGACUCGUACUGUUGUGUAUUUUUAUGCUUUAUACCUUUUUGUAAAAUGGUGCUGGGGAAGGUGACGAUGUACUCUAGGUUGGAAGAUUCUUAAACAGGAAACUGAAGGCAAUACUGAAUCGACAGAGAGGAAUAUUAUAGAAACCUUGUUUUCUCAAGAGGACAAUGGGAGUGUAGGCUGCUGGAAGCAAUUUUAUUUCUUUUUCUUUGAGUUCUCAUUAUUAAAUAAUAAAGCAUGAUCUUCUCUGCUUUAGCAAAUCAGUGUCAUCAAAUAAGCCAGCAUAAUUAGACUCACAGAUUCCAGCCUGAAUUUCUGGUCAGCAAAAAUGUUAAAGCAAAUCAAAACCAAAAUACUCUCAGUUCGCUUUUCUGAACUGUAACACUAAUAUAAUUUUUUUUUUCUUUUCAGGAAGGAGAAUGUUCUUGUUUAUGGUUCCCUUUGAUCAAUUACCUCAGAUCAUUCCCAAUGCUAAAAACAAAUAGUCUUGACUGGAAUCCUGCUUCAGCAUUUGGGACUGAUGCUGAAAGUAGUCUAGAAACAUCGAAUCUUUCGCGUGUUUUGCGACGGUGCGCCUGAGUCACUUCUGCUCUGGGUGACUAAAGUUCUCGGCCCUUCUCUCGAAGCACCUGGAAGGACUGGAUGCAAUGCCGCUGGCUGGGAGGACCCUCCCUGAGCUCUCCUGGGUGAUGACAUCCACCAUCUUUGAACUUCCCAAGGGGUGUCUCAGCUGCUGUCCUGGAACGGCGCUAGAAGAGGAAGGAGGCUGGUUUCUCAUUGCUGGAAUUCGAAUUUCCAAUCUUGGGUCUCUGGCUUUAUUUACCCAGAAACCUUGGAGCAGAGUGUUCUACAAAGGAGGCCAUCACAGCUGGAUAUGUUCCACACAAGCCUCUGUCCUGUGAGUCAGGGCUGCAGACGGGUGAAGCAGGUGGUGUUGGAUGCAGGUGCCAGACAAGGGCACAGCCUUUCCCUUACCUGCACAUCUCCUUCAGGAGCCCCAUCAGGCUGCGGGCUGGUCUUGGCCAGAGUUGUUGUGCCAGGUUGAGGUAGCAGGUUCUUGAGGUCCACAGGAUGAUUCCGAGAAGACCCAGUGACAUGUCCAUGUGCCGUGAGUUGCAUUAUAAGAGAGGGACCCUGAGCUUAAGAAGGCCCAGUAUUUUAUGCAGCAUGGUAAACACGCCUGCCCUUUGCUCCAGAAGGAGACAUGAUCUCUGUUUUCCAAGGCUGUUCUGUGUACCAACAUCCUUGAAAAGAUAUUUUGGAACAAAGACAGCCAGUGCCACCGUUCACAACAAGUGCAGAAUUUUGAGAGACCCCAUGGAGAAUUAUCUCCCAACGGUUGUUGUUUGGUGGUAAAUGAGUAAAAGAGGUAAGUUUAGUUUUUCUUACUUGGAGCAUUUGACUAGUCCUAUGUUAGAGUAAGAGUUGCACUAUGUAUGAUAGGUUAGUGGGGGACCAAAUGUUCUCGGGCUCAUAUAUCAGAAGUGCUGGGGCAUGUGGGUAGUUCAGUUGGUUAGGUGUCCAACACUUGAUUUCAGCUCACAUCAUGAUCUCACGGUUUGUGGGUUUGAGCCCUGCAUCAGGCUCUGAACUGCCAGUGUAGAGCCUGCUUGGGAUUCUUUGUCUCUCUCUCUCUCUUUCUCUGCUCCUCCCUCCCUCCCUCUC